CCCUUAGAUGUCCUGGGCCGCACGCGCGCUACACUGAUGCAUUCAACGAGUUUUACCUUGGCCGAGAGGCCUGGGCAAUCUUUUAAACCUGCAUCGUGAUAGGGAUAGAUUAUUGCAAUUAUUAAUCUUGAACGAGGAAUUCCUAGUAAACGCAGAUCAUCAAUCUGCAUUGAUUACGUCCCUGCCCUUUGUACACACCGCCCGUCGCACCUACCGAUUGAAUGGUCCGGCGAAGCCUCGGGAUUGUGGCCAGUUCACUUUAUUGGGAGUUGGCUGCGAGAACUUGUCUAAACCUUAUCAUUUAGAGGAAGGUGAAGUCGUAACA
rnacentral:rRNA from 1 species